AUUUUAUUAGUUUCAAAAAAAAUAUUAAAUUGCAAAUUUAGUGAUUAAGAUUCAAUUUUAAUAAAAUU
rnacentral:tRNA from 1 species